rnacentral:rRNA from 1 species
CAGUCGCCGCGGUAAUACGUAGGUGGCAAGCGUUGUCCGGAAUUAUUGGGCGUAAAGCGCGCGCAGGUGGUUUAAUAAGUCUGAUGUGAAAGCCCACGGCUCAACCGUGGAGGGUCAUUGGAAACUGUUAAACUUGAGUGCAGGAGAGAAAAGCGGAAUUCCUAGUGUAGCGGUGAAAUGCGUAGAGAUUAGGAGGAACACCAGUGGCGAAGGCGGCUUUUUGGCCUGUAACUGACACUGAGGCGCGAAAGCGUGGGGAGCGAACAGGAUUAGAUACCCGAGUAGUCCCUGUCUCUUAUAC